AGUGAACGCUGGCGGUAGGCCUAACACAUGCAAGUCGAACGGCAGCACAGUAAUAGCUUGCUCUUACGGGUGGCGAGUGGCGGACGGGUGAGGAAUACAUCGGAAUCUACUUUUUCGUGGGGGAUAACGUAGGGAAACUUACGCUAAUACCGCAUACGACCUACGGGUGAAAGCAGGGGAUCUUCGGACCUUGCGCGAUUGUAUGAGCCGAUGUCGGAUUAGCUAGUUGGCGGGGUAAAGGCCCACCAAGGCGACGAUCCGUAGCUGGUCUGAGAGGAUGAUCAGCCACACUGGAACUGAGACACGGUCCAGACUCCUACGGGAGGCAGCAGUGGGGAAUAUUGGACAAUGGGCGCAAGCCUGAUCCAGCCAUACCGCGUGGGUGAAGAAGGCCUUCGGGUUGUAAAGCCCUUUUGUUGGGAAAGAAAAGCAGCAGGUUAAUACCCCGCUGUUCUGACGGUACCCAAAGAAUAAGCACCGGCUAACUUCGUG
rnacentral:rRNA from 1 species